rnacentral:tRNA from 1 species
GCCCCCAUGGCUCAAUGGAUAGAGCACCGGUCUUCUAAACCGAUGGCUGCAGGUUCGAGUCCUGCUGGGGGCG